rnacentral:rRNA from 1 species
UACGAAGGGUGCAAGCGUUACUCGGAAUUACUGGGCGUAAAGCGUGCGUAGGUGGUGAGUUAAGUCUGUCGUGAAAGCCCCGGGCUCAACCUGGGAAUGGCGAUGGAUACUGGCUCGCUAGAGUGCGGUAGAGGAGAGUGGAAUUCCCGGUGUAGCAGUGAAAUGCGCAGAUAUCGGGAGGAACACCGGUGGCGAAGGCGGGUCUCUGGGCAACAACUGACGCUGAGGAGCGAAAGCGUGGGGAGCGAACAGG